rnacentral:lncRNA from 1 species
GAAAAUGUAUGCAUAGAUUUGGAGGCCUAGUUAAUAAACAUUAUCAGGCUGAGAUCAGAACACCUUUGGAAGACCUACAUGAGCUAUACAGGAUCAGAUGAAGGGCUCUAUGUCAUUGCUAAAGACCCAACCUGGGCCGCCCCAUCACUGAGGAAAAAUAAUCUGCAUCUGAGGAACACGAAACUGCUGGAAACCCCUUGGCAUGUAGAAGGUGUCUGGUCUGGAAGCUCAGGCAGAAGCGUGGUGUCAGGCAAUUCACAAACAGAUAACUAGUGGAGGUAUGGAUUUCAUACAUUUCCAUCUAUGGAUCCAUAGAAGUAUUGCAACUGAGAAGAAAGGGACACGUAAAAUAGAAAAUACUUUAAUUUUUUCUGGCCAUUGUUUGCUUUGCUUUAAUCUAGACAUUGAUUUUUGACAGGAACACAAUGUGCCUAGUCUGAGAACCCUUCAGUGACAUACACUUAAAUGAGAGAUGUGGCGGCAUUAUGAAUCUCUACAAUAUCUUCACAUUUAGUAAACUGCAGUAGUUGCUGAAUGAUCAGGGAUUGUCAAUAACUCCUUUCAUGGUUCUCCAGAGAUGUACCAUCCUACUAGAUAGUGUGGAUUUGGAAGUUCACCAUGUAUAUUUCGUUAUCUACUACUUACUCAUGGAACAUUGUUACUCAGGAACGAUCGAGAAGUUGAAUUAAUUAUUAUCUCACUCUUGGAUAUCAAAGUUGCUCCUAAGUAAUAUGACUUUUAUACCUCUUACUAACUUCUAUUGUUCAGAGACAAAUUUUGUUAGAACCAACUCUACAUGUAUAGAGAAUUCAGAGUUGAUAUUUUGCCAAUUACCUCUAUUUAACAUCCAUUCUGCUCUUGUGACUAUGCUGGUACUCUGACUAAACAUUAUCAAAAUAUUAUUUCAGAUCCAUUUAUAUUGAUCAGAGGGUACAAUGGAAUUAAUUCCAAAACAAAUCUAAAAGCAUAUGCUAGAAGUGAACAAUUAGCUAAGCCUUCAGUUGAGUUUAAUAAAAUGAAAUCUCUGUAAAUAAGGAUAUAGUAC